rnacentral:misc_RNA from 1 species
GUAUAAUAUAAAUCUCAUAUUAUUGAAGACAACAAUGUUUACUUAAAGGGUAAUCCCAGUAGACUAACAAAUACCUUAGAAAGCCAAGUAUAUUCCUAAUUUAGGAUCAUGGUAUACCAUUAAACUGCAAUAGUUUUCUUCAAAUAAAUGAAAGCUGGAUAUCAAAAAAACAAUUCUCAGAUAUCGUAUAAGACCUAAAGUACUCUAAAUUUCCACCGAAUGCAAUGUUCAAUGCUCUAGCAACAGCUAGACGUUCAAAGAGUAUUAUGCCUUGACUUUCUUGUAUUGCUUUAUCU